rnacentral:sRNA from 1 species
AGCAGCCGCGGUAAUUCCAGCUCCAAUAGCGUAUAUUAAAGUUGUUGCAGUUAAAAAGCUCGUAGUUGAAUUUCGGGGUUAGUAGGUUGGUCAUGCCUCUGGUAUGUACUGGUCUCACUGAUUCCUCCUUCCUGAUGAGCCGUAAUGCCAUUAAUUUGGUGUUGCGGGGAAUUUGGACUGUUACUUUGAAAAAAUUAGAGUGUUUAAAGCAAGCUAACGCUUGAAUACAUUAGCAUGGAAUAAUGAAAUAGGACGUUCGAUCCUAUUUUGUUGGUUUCUAGGAUUGACGUAAUGAUUAAUAGGGAUAGUUGGGGGCAUUAGUAUUCAAUUGUCAGAGGUGAAAUUCUUGGAUUUAUUGAAGACUAACUACUGCGAAAGCAUUUGCCAAGGAUGUUUUCAUUAAUCAAGAACGAAAGUUAGGGGAUCGAAGACGAUCAGAUACCGUCGUAGUCUUAACCAUAAACUAUGCCGACUAGGGAUCGGAUGAUGUUAAUUUUUUAAUGUACUCAUUCGGCGCCUU